GAUGAACGCUGGCGGCGUGCCUAAUACAUGCAAGUCGAGCGAACAGACGAGGAGCUUGCUCCUCUGACGUUAGCGGCGGACGGGUGAGUAACACGUGGAUAACCUACCUAUAAGACUGGGAUAACUUCGGGAAACCGGAGCUAAUACCGGAUAAUAUAUUGAACCGCAUGGUUCAAUAGUGAAAGACGGUUUUGCUGUCACUUAUAGAUGGAUCCGCGCCGCAUUAGCUAGUUGGUAAGGUAACAGCUUACCAAGGCAACGAUGCGUAGCCGACCUGAGAGGGUGAUCGGCCACACUGGAACUGAGACACGGUCCAGACUCCUACGGGAGGCAGCAGUAGGGAAUCUUCCGCAAUGGGCGAAAGCCUGACGGAGCAACGCCGCGUGAGUGAUGAAGGUCUGCGGAUCGUAAAACUCUGUUAUUAGGGAAGAACAAAUGUGUAAGUAACUAUGCACGUCUUGACGGUACCUAAUCAGAAAGCCACGGCUAACUACGU
rnacentral:rRNA from 1 species